AUUUAUCCAACUUCCACAGCUCAUUUUCUUCCAAUUUUACGACCAAAAUUUGGAACCUUUUCCUAAUUUUUUUCAGUAACCCAACCCAACUUAUACCUUCACCAGGCCCACUCCUCUUAAUUCCCAUUCCCAGUAAUUCCUCUCCUCUCAGCAACCAACCCGACCCAAUUCCCUUUUAUCCCCUUCAGUGAGCAACACGAAAUUGCAACGUGCAUCAGACAUGUGAACUCCUCCACUCAACCAACGCGCCCCCGUCUUCUUCAUGCGCGAGCCACUAAAAGCAGCAGCAAGCAAUGCAUAAUGAUCUCAACGGUAUCAUCGUCUCUGUCGCCAUUAAUUUGCGUGGCAAGGGCUUCCUGAUUUCUCUAGCCUCGCAGAAUCGUCCUUGGGUGUCGGAGAUGUCUCCACGUCUCCCAUAAGGACGAUUGGAUCGAUCACAAUCGUCCAUUUCCCCUUUCCAUUUUUGGAAAAGUUUCAGAGCUUCAGAAAAAGCUUGUCUUCCCAAAGUGGUGAAAGAAACAUUUAAAUUUCAAAUUCGGACUCAAGUUCUAUCCAAGAUUCUCACCCUUCCCCCCCCCCCCCCCCCUUUUUUUCUUUGUCAAAAUCCUAGCCCUUAGCUAUAUAUGAUCGCUUCGGUCCUUUUGGGGGAGGGAGAUAUUUCUUUAGCUGCCGUUAGAGAGAAUUUCUACAGUAAGAAUCACUAGUUAUACAAUUAUUACAAAUAAACACUUGUGGAAUAGGUCUUAAAAAUCACAGAGAGUAAGAGUUAAUACUCCCGCUUGUUUCUUCACCCACGAGAGUUCAUCGGAGUCGCGAAUUGGUGGUGGAGGGAUCGGCCUCAUAGCUAGCUCGUUCGUCCGUUCGAUUCGCUGCCCUCGUAAAAGGAUGAAUUUAACACACGAGCCUUUGAAAACAAGAAUGGUUACCGUCCCUGAUCCUUUGCUCAAAGUAUGGUAGAGGUUCAUGAACAACGACGACAAAAUGAUCGUCGAGAAACACAUAGGUUACCUCCCAUCUCUGCUAGAGAUGAAUGCUUGGUCUGGCCAAAUUGGAACAAUGGUGAAAUUCUUGGACAACGAGCAUAUGAUCUUUCGAUUUGGGGAAGUAGAGUUAACGCCAACAAUAGAAGAAGUCCUCACGAGUUACAAAAGCGUCUCCAUGUGCAACAAAAGGAAACGACACCCAGAAACAGAUCUCCUAAAUCCUAUAAUAUGGGAUUUUACCAAAAUUAGAGAAAAAUUAUCAUUGGUUAAAACCUAGUGGAUGGACAAGCUCCCCGACCCAAAUAUACCUUUCAGAAAACUAUAUUAUCGGUUUGAACGUGCAAGGGCUUAUGAGAAAUAUAAAUAUGAGUUCGUUUCAAAAGAAAAAUGGAAAGAGACGUGUCCCCUCACAUAUCCAAUAUGUUUACUCAGAACGAUAAUUUUCCCUUAAGGUCCAAAAUACACUAUUCAUCCUAGUGUAUUUAUGGCCACUCAUGCCAUCUUCUACGGAGUGGACUAUAAAUUUUCAACAAGUACUACACUUUAGCGCCUAUGAUUUAGGAUGACAUCUAUAGGGCUUUAGACAAAUGUCAUAGUGGAGAACACUUCUUUCAAGGGUGUAGUCUGAUAUUACAGUGGUGGAUGAUGUGACAUUUGACCAAGACUCAUAAUCCAAAAGAACCAGAUCCCCUGAAGCGGUCAGACGACUUACAUGGUCAUGAUUGGUGGUUGUACCACUAUCAUUGCAAUAAGACUGGAGGAGAAAGUUUUUUGUAUCCGAGGCUUCGAGGGCUGAGAGAAGAAGACAUACAGUAGUCAAUAGAGAGUUUGAUGGUAAAUAAGAAUAUGGUGGUUAGAAGAGAAAAAGUCCCUUACUUGGUAUUUGCUGGGUUAAAGGGGACUAGACUAUAUGCAUCCGGUCGAGUCCUAAGACAACUAGGAGGGAAACAAGAGUUUCCCCAGAUCGCAGAUGUGAGGAAAUUUGCAACUGACCACGAGAAUGGACGAGUUGCAUUUGCUGAAGACAUACGUAGGAUGUGCAAAUCUCGAAGAGUGUUGGGUUAACCUGUACCAAACAGGUUUCAUCAAAAAUGUUCUAGGGAGUACAAAGAAUGGUUGAAAAAGAGUCUCGCUGGAACUAUUGAGCCUGGCCCAAAUGACCCUCACAUUAUUGCAGAUGUUGGAGCCAAACAUCAAGUCCGACAUCAAGAGAAGUUUGAUAGGAAUGAAUUAGAUCAUCAAUGUCAUCACUCUGAAGAUGUCAAAGUCAUAGUUCAAUUGAAACAGGAGCUACGAAGAGACGGACAGUGCAUGACAAAGUUAGAUGAUAACAUGGAACAACAGAUUCAAUCGAUAGAGGGGUUCAAACAUCAAUAAGAAGCUCGAUUGGCGAGAGAUCAUAUCUGGGCGAAUACAUAUGCUAUGUGGGAAGAGGUCAACAUCGUCAAAAGGACCAGACUUGGCAAUGGAUCAGAGGAGGCUUGAAUUUUAUUUACUAUCCCCUGCGUGGGACUGCUUUAUUUGUACUUUGUUUGUAAUUUAUUUUCUGAAUUAUUUCUUGGUUUUAUGUUUAUCAGACAUUUUGGAUGCUAUUAAUGAAGUAUUUUGGAGAUAAUAAAUCGAGUUUAAAAAGCA